GCACUGCUGAGGAGUCCCAAACAAGGGCGAAACGGCCGUCCAGUGC
rnacentral:hammerhead_ribozyme from 1 species